GAUGAACGCUAGCGGCAGGCUUAACACAUGCAAGUCGAGGGGCAACACGGGUAGCAAUACCUGGUGGCGACCGGCGCAAGGGUGCGUAACGCGUGAGCAACAUGCCCUAUACAGGGGGAUAAUCCAGGGAAACUUGGUCUAAUAUCCCAUAGUAUUUAGAGGUGGCAUCACCACUAAAUUAAAGCUUCGGUGGUAUAGGAUUGGCUCGCGUGACAUUAGCUGGAUGGUGGGUAACGGCUCACCAUGGCGAUGAUGUCUAGGGGUUCUGAGAGGAAGACCCCCCACACUGGGAACUGAGACACGGCCCAGACUCCUACGGGAGCAGCAGUGAGGAAUAUUGGACAAUGGAUGGAAAUCUGAUCCAGCCCAUGCCGCGUGCAGGGAAGACGGCCCUAAUGGGGUUGUAAACUGCUUUUAUAUGGGAGCAAUAAGGUUUACGCGUAGACCGAUGAGAGUACCAUAUGAAUAAGCAUCGGUAACUCGUCG
rnacentral:rRNA from 1 species